AGUAGUUAAGCACUCGGCUGCUAACCGGGAUGUUGGUGGUUUGAACCCACCAGCUGCUA
rnacentral:tRNA from 1 species